UUUAAAUUCAAAUUAGUUUGAUCUUUACAUGGACAAAGACUUGCAUUAUUUCUUGAAAAUUUUUGAAGACAUGAAAAAGUUUAAAAUUUCAAGACAAGUUAAAGUUCUUGGAUUCUAGGAACUUUAAUAUAGUCAUCCAAAUUGGUAUUGGAUAGGAAAACCAGACAUUAUAGCCAUUAUAUAGAUUUUCAACAAUGCUAGACUCAGAGUUUAUAUACAGUCACAGAACAAAAAGAAUUUACAAGACUAUCCACAAUCUUCUCAUUUUGAUGAAUUGUUAAACCGCAGAAACUUGAAGAAUACCUUCCGAAAAUCUAGACUGUAUAGUAUAUACAACAAUAUAAAAGAAUGGGCCAGUUGUGUUCAUCUAUAAGGAACCCUAAAAUUGAGCAAUGACCAUGAAGAGUAAGCAACGUGUACAGUAAGAUAUCCAUCUUUGUAGUUACCAAAGAGUGGGGGUAAGAACCUGGUCUAUAAUUAUACAUGCGUUUUUACAGAGAAUAUAGGUAUACUGUAUUUUUAAUUUUUUUUGGUCCUGUUUGUAAGUUUGUCAUAAAGAAGUAGUAUGUGGUAUUAAUGUCAAUGGGAUAUGACACACAGAUGAAAAGAAGUUAAAUACCUUUAAGUAUGGAUGAAGAAAGACAGCCUUCCUCAUAACCAAAAGAAAGGACAGACAAAAAUAUACAAAACAAUACACAAACUAAAAAAUGUACAACACCAACCUAAUCAAAGACCAAGAUGAACUCAGGUGAUCCAGGAAGUCGGCACCAAAAGAAAUGACAGACAAAAGUAUACAAAACACUAAACUCAAACAACUUAAAAUGCACAACAUCAAGCCAACCAGAGAUGAGGGGAUGAACUUAGGUGACCGAGGACAAAAGUACUACUACUGGAUAGGUGUCUUACUACCAGUACAGGACAGAAGUUGGUAAGUAAUUGAUAUGUUAACAAAUCUACAAAUUGAUAAAGCUAAGGGUAUUUUUUUGUCAUUCAUUCUUUCUUUAAUUUUAAGUGUGACAAGAUAAAGAUAGCACAUAAUUUUCAAAUAUAGUUUUUAAAAAAUAGUAUUCUUUGUUUGUUAUUUUGAAAUAUCUUCAUGUUUGAAAUUUUUGAACUUCAAUUUAACUUGAAAGAAAUAUUCUCCAAAAUUUAUUAAAUUGAUAGACCUUUUUUCACAAAAAAUAUUGGUUAUUUUAACAAUCAUGUGAGUCAGGUUGAGAUAAUGAUGACUCAGUCUUACUCCAUGAAAACACUGGUAUCUUGCAUUAG